UACGGGGGGGGCAAGCGUUGUUCGGAAUUACUGGGCGUAAAGGGCUCGUAGGCGGCCAACUAAGUCAGACGUGAAAUCCCUCGGCUUAACCGGGGAACUGCGUCUGAUACUGGAUGGCUAGAGUGUGGGAGAGGGAUGCGGAAUUCCAGGUGUAGCGGUGAAAUGCGUAGAUAUCUGGAGGAACACCGGUGGCGAAGGCGGCAUCCUGGACCACGACUGACACUGAAAAGCGAAAGCCAGGGGAGCAAGCGGG
rnacentral:rRNA from 1 species